rfam:Hordeum vulgare subsp. vulgare, WGS project CAJW01000000 data, contig: morex_contig_2549840
UUAGUACUCCCUCCGUCCGGAAAUACUUGUCACAGAAAUGGAUGUAUCUAGACAUAUUUUAGUUAUAAAUACAUCCAUUCUUAUCCAUUUCCGUGACAAGUAAUUCUGGGCAGAGGGACUAUCAA